UACGUAGGGGGCAAGCGUUGUCCGGAAUCAUUGGGCGUAAAGAGCGUGUAGGCGGCCAGAUAAGUCCGCUGUGAAAUCUCGAGGCUCAACUUCGAGCUGUCGGUGGAAACUGUCUGGCUAGAGUCCGGAAGAGGAGAAUGGAAUUCCUGGUGUAGCGGUGAAAUGCGCAGAUAUCAGGAAGAACACCCGUGGCGAAGGCGGUUCUCUGGGACGGUACUGACGCUGAGACGCGAAAGCGUGGGGAGCGAAUAGG
rnacentral:rRNA from 1 species